CCUAAGGCGAGGCCGAAAGGCGUAGUCGAUGGGAAACAGGUUAAUAUUCCUGUACUUGGUGUUACUGCGAAGGGGGGACGGAGAAGGCUAUGUUGGCCGGGCGACGGUUGUCCCGGUUUAAGCGUGUAGGCUGGUUUUCCAGGCAAAUCCGGAAAAUCAAGGCUGAGGCGUGAUGACGAGGCACUACGGUGCUGAAGCAACAAAUGCCCUGCUUCCAGGAAAAGCCUCUAAGCAUCAGGUAACAUCAAAUCGUACCCCAAACCGACACAGGUGGUCAGGUAGAGAAUACCAAGGCGCUUGAGAGAACUCGGGUGAAGGAACUAGGCAAAAUGGUGCCGUAACUUCGGGAGAAGGCACGCUGAUAUGUAGGUGAGGUCCCUCGCGGAUGGAGCUGAAAUCAGUCGAAGAUACCAGCUGGCUGCAACUGUUUAUUAAAAACACAGCACUGUGCAAACACGAAAGUGGACGUAUACGGUGUGACGCCUCCCCGGUGCCGGAAGGUUAAUUGAUGGGGUUAGCGCAAGCGAAGCUCUUGAUCGAAGCCCCGGUAAACGGCGGCCGUAACGAUAACGGUCCUAAGGUAGCGAAAUUCCUUGUCGGGUAAGUUCCGACCUGCACGAAUGGCGUAAUGAUGGCCAGGCUGUCUCCACCCGAGACUCAGUGAAAUUGAACUCGCUGUGAAGAUGCAGUGUACCCGCGGCAAGACGGAAAGACCCCGUGAACCUUUACUAUAGCUUGACACUGAACAUUGAGCCUUGAUGUGUAGGAUAGGUGGGAGGCUUUGAAGUGUGGACGCCAGUCUGCAUGGAGCCGACCUUGAAAUACCACCCUUUAAUGUUUGAUGUUCUAACGUUGACCCGUAAUCCGGGUUGCGGACAGUGUCUGGUGGGUAGUUUGACUGGGGCGGUCUCCUCCUAAAGAGUAACGGAGGAGCACGAAGGUUGGCUAAUCCUGGUCGGACAUCAGGAGGUUAGUGCAAUGGCAUAAGCCAGCUUGACUGCGAGCGUGACGGCGCGAGCAGGUGCGAAAGCAGGUCAUAGUGAUCCGGUGGUUCUGAAUGGAAGGGCCAUCGCUCAACGGAUAAAAGGUACUCCGGGGAUAACAGGCUGAUACCGCCCAAGAGUUCAUAUCGACGGCGGUGUUUGGCACCUCGAUGUCGGCUCAUCACAUCCUGGGGCUGAAGUAGGUCCCAAGGGUAUGGCUGUUCGCCAUCUAAAGUGGUACGCGAGCUGGGUUUAGAACGUCGUGAGACAGUUCGGUCCCUAUCUGCCGUGGGCGCUGGAGAACUGAGGGGGGCUGCUCCUAGUACGAGAGGACCGGAGUGGACGCAUCACUGGUAUUCGGGUUGUCAUGCCAAUGGCACUGCCCGGUAGCUAAAUGCGGAAGAGAUAAGUGCUGAAAGCAUCUAAGCACGAAACUUGCCCCGAGAUGAGUUCUCCCUGACCCUUUAAGGGUCCUGAAGGAACGUUGAAGACGACGACGUUGAUAGGCCGGGUGUGUAAGCGCAGCGAUGCGUU
rnacentral:rRNA from 1 species